GAGGAACGCUAGCGGCCGACCUAAUACAUGCAAGCCAAACGGUGUCUUCGGACAUAGUGCCGCACCGGUGCGUACCCCGUAUGCAACCUAGCUUACGUGCGGGGCUAGCCUUUCGAACGGGAGAUUAAUACCGCCUACGACAGGAGCGGGGCAUCCAGCAGCUGUGAAAGAUUUAUCGCGGGUAGCUGGGGAUGCGUCCAAUUAGCCAGUUGGUGAGGUCACGGCUCACCAAGGCAAUGAUUGGUAGGGGAACUGGGAGGUCAAUCCCCCACACUGGCACUGCGAUACGGGCCAGACUACUACGGGAGGCAGCAGUAGGGAAUAUUGGGCAAUGGACGCAAGUCUGACCCAGCCAUGCCGCGUGCAGGAUGAAGGCGUUAUGCGUUGUAAACUGCUUUUAUACAGGAAGAAACGACUCUUGCGAGAGGCAUUGACGGUACUGUAUGAAUAAGCACCGGCUAACUCCGUGCCAGCCGCCGCAGUAAUAC
rnacentral:rRNA from 1 species